rnacentral:rRNA from 1 species
UUUAUUGGAGAGUUUGAUCCUGGCUCAGGACGAACGCUGGCGGCGUGCCUAAUACAUGCAAGUCGAGCGAAUCUCUUCGGAGAUUAGCGGCGG